AGGGUUGUAGUUAAUUAUAACAUUUGGGUUGCAUUCAAAAAGUAUUGACUAAAUCAAUCAACCUUA
rnacentral:tRNA from 1 species